GGGCCUAUAGUUUAAUGGUAAAACACCUCAUUUGCAAUGAGGAGAUGGCAGUUCGAUUCUGCCUAGGUCCA
rnacentral:tRNA from 1 species